AGAGUUUGAUCAUGGCUCAGAAUCAACGCUGGCGGCGCGCCUAACACAUGCAAGUCGAACGAGAAAGUGGAGCAAUCCAUGAGUAAAGUGGCGUACGGGUGAGUAACACGUGGAUCAUCUACCCUCUAGUGGGGAAUACCGUUGGGAAACCGACGACAAUACCGCAUAAGCUCGAGAGAGGAAAGCAGCAAUGCGCUGGAGGAGGAGUCCGCGGUCGAUUAGUUAGUUGGCGGGGUAAAGGCCCACCAAGACUGUGAUCGAUAGCCGGCCUGAGAGGGCACACGGCCACACUGGCACUGAAACACGGGCCAGACUCCUACGGGAGGCAGCAGUGGGGAAUCUUGCACAAUGGAGGAAACUCUGAUGCAGCGACGCCGCGUGAGCGAUGAAGCCCUUCGGGGUGUAAAGCUCUUUCGGCAGGGACGAUUAUGACGGUACCUGCAAAAGCAGCUGCGGCUAACUACGUGCCAGCAGCCGCGGUAAUACGUAGGCAGCAAGCGUUGUUCGGAGUUACUGGGCGUAAAGGGUGCGUAGGCGGCUUUCUAAGUUUGGUGUGAAAUCUCCCGGCUCAACCGGGAGGGUGCGCCGAAUACUGAGAGGCUAGAGUGUGGGAGAGGAAAGUGGAAUUCCUGGUGUAGCGGUGAAAUGCGUAGAUAUCAGGAGGAACACCGGUGGUGUAAACGGCUUUCUGGACCAUAACUGACGCUGAGGCACGAAAGCGUGGGUAGCAAACAGGAUUAGAUACCCUGGUAGUCCACGCCCUAAACGAUGCAUAUUUGGUGUGGGCCAUUCAUUUGGUCUGUGCCCGGAGCUAACGCGUUAAAUAUGCCGCCUGGGGAGUACAGUCGCAAGGCUGAAACUCAAGGAAUUGACGGGGGCCCGCACAAGCGGUGGAGCAUGUGGUUUAAUUCGACGCAACGGCGAAGAACCCUUACCUGGG
rnacentral:rRNA from 1 species